rnacentral:sRNA from 1 species
GAAACUAGAAAGGCCUCGGGCCACCAGUA